GKCCCUAGUACGAGAGGACCGGGACGGACGAACCUCUGGUGUGCCAGUUGUUCUGCCAAGGGCAUGGCUGGUUGGCUACGUUCGGGAGGGAUAACCGCUGAAAGCAUCUAAGCGGGAAGCCUGCUUCGAGAUGAGGACUCCCACCCACUUGAUGGGGUAAGGCUCCCAGUAGACGACUGGGUUGAUAGGCCGGAUCUGGAAGCACGGUAACGUGUGGAGGUGACCGGUACUAAUAGGCCGAGGGCUUGUCCAU
rnacentral:rRNA from 1 species